rnacentral:tRNA from 1 species
GCGCGCAUAGCUCAGUUGGCUAGAGCGUCUCGUUGACGUCGAGAAGGUCCUAGGUUCGAGUCCUAGUGCGCGCA